rnacentral:lncRNA from 1 species
GGAAGACAAGUGGCGGCAUGGCAUGGACAAGUGCCAUAGAAUUGUGAUUGUGUGUGUCUGUGUGUGGGGAUUGCACAAGAACCAAAUGAAAAGAACGCAAUGCAAACGCAAGAAACCAAAAAAAAUAAGCAAUAGAAAGAGAAGAAGAACCAGCAAAAACAGCAAAAGCAACACCAAGAACUAGAAGGCGUCAGAGGUAGAGGCAGCGGCGGCAAAGGCAAAACUCAAGCACGCACUUCAGACGCA